ACGUUCGGUGGAGGAACCAGACUGGAAGUUAACUUGGGUCGAGUCGUCCCCACCCUGACGGUGCUGCCCCCCUCCAGGGAGCAGCUGCAGCAGGGGACGGCCACGCUCAUGUGCCUGGCCAACAAGGGCUUCCCCUCAGACUGGAGUCUGUCCUGGAAGGUGGACGGCAGCAGCAGCAGCAGCAGCUGGGAGCAGAGCAGCAGCCCCGGGGUGCUGGAGAAGGACGGCCACUACAGCUGGAGCAGCACCCUGAGGCUCUCUGCAGACCAGUGGAGGAAGGUGGGCUCUGUGACCUGUGAGGCCACCCAGGGCUCCCAGACUCCGCUCUCAGAGACUCUGAGGAGAGACCAGUGUUCCCAGUCCUGAUCUGACUCACUGCUUUUACUCUGCUACUGCUCUCAGUCUGCUCUCUUUCUCUGGUUCUCUCAUGAUGUUUCAACAUUAACUUGUUCUUGCUUGUGUUGAUAGUUUUAACAUUUUCAAACAAUAAAGAAUUCAAUCGUUUAUUAUAAAAGUGACCAGUCUUUUGAAGUCCUUUCUUUCACAUGUGUUAUAUUUUCGGAGCAUGAAUCAGAAUAAUGUGCCAACUUGACAAUCGUAAGAAGUACAUUUUUUAAUAGUUUUAGACUGUAGACAUGGUGCAGCCAUUUCAAUGGUAAAUCACAAAGCUAACAGAUUUAACUAAUUUAUACUUUUGAAGAUCCAUAUGUAAAGUUAAUGUCAUUAAAUUUGUAUUUUUAUCCAAGAUCACUUAUCAUUCAUUUGUAAUCCUAAAUUCCCAAUAUAAAUGGGGCCCCGUGUGAGGCAUUUUACAAUCGGCAAUUGUUCAUAAUUGUUCAAUAUUGAUAUCAGCAUAUACAUUUUUUGUUUCACACCAAAAAUG